rnacentral:lncRNA from 1 species
CUUGGUCCCUGUCUUUGUCUCGCCGUCUGAAGUAAGUCCCUCAUCGGAAAAUUUGCAAAUUAGGGUCCUCUUGUUUGCAAUUUGUGUGGAGCAGGUCCUCGCCGGAGCCCGAAGCUCCGGCGAGUGAUGAAUGGACGUGCUAACUGGAUUUACUUAUCUGACGUGACAAGGAAAAAAUAAAUAAAUAAAUAAAUUUAUUUACAUGUCAGUUUUUUUAAUGUAAUUAUCAAAAUAAAACCAUAAUUAACUAACAAAUUCAUUUCCCCCCAAAUAAUCUCAAUUCCUGAAAUAACCCCCAAAUUCCCAUUCAUCUCUAUCAAUUUAGGGUUCCUGACUGAGGUCUUCUACCCUCUUCAUCAUUCACCAAUUCUUUUCAGAAAACAAAAAUUUCCAUCUUCUCCUCUUCCUCCCUCUCCCACCAUACACACCCACCCCCAC